rnacentral:rRNA from 1 species
AUUGAACGCUGGCGGCAGGCCUAACACAUGCAAGUCGAGCGGAUGAAGGGAGCUUGCUCCUGGAUUCAGCGGCGGACGGGUGAGUAAUGCCUAGGAAUCUGCCUGGUAGUGGGGGAUAACGUCCGGAAACGGGCGCUAAUACCGCAUACGUCCUGAGGGAGAAAGUGGGGGAUCUUCGGACCUCACGCUAUCAGAUGAGCCUAGGUCGGAUUAGCUAGUUGGUGGGGUAAAGGCCUACCAAGGCGACGAUCCGUAACUGGUCUGAGAGGAUGAUCAGUCACACUGGAACUAAGACACGGUCCAGACUCCUACGGGAGGCAGCAGUGGGGAAUAUUGGACAAUGGGCGAAAGCCUGAUCCAGCCAUGCCGCGUGUGUGAAGAAGGUCUUCGGAUUUUAAAGCACUUUAAGUUGGGAGGAAGGGCAGUAAGUUAAUACCUUGCUGUUUUGACGUUACCAACAGAAUAAGCACCGGCUAACUUCGUG